GGUGUGAAUGCUCUGUCAAAACAAUAGCAUGUCAGAAUGAUGUCAAGUGCGACACAUAGAGUACGCCAGUGAGGCGCACGGAUGUACAUGUGAGGUAAGGAGGAAAAUGUUCAAUGUAAAAUCAAUUUAUAUUAUGAUUUUUGCAUUCCGUUCUUACAAAUUAAAAUCUUAUAAAUACUCGGCCAUGGCUAAGAAAGCUCUUUUCUGUCUCAACCAGCGGACGAAAUAGUAGUGCGCGUCGUGAUUAGCGAAAUUAAUUAAAAAAAGUACGGUUAGUGUUCCUUAAAAGCUAUUAGUACGGGCAGUAGUACGUAGAAGCAAUAUUCGUAAAGAAUUAGAAGAUAUAGUACGUCUAUUUCGCCCAUAAUGUGCCCGAUGUAAAUGAAAACGGGUCGAAAAGAUUAAGUGCUGUGAUAAGAGAAAGGUCCAUAAAGGGCCUUUCUCUUUAUUUUCUUUUCUUCGGCACAAGUUCCGGCUAGCCGCUGGACCGACAAAGCUUCGCUAGAUGCGCACGUCUAUCCGCAAAGUCAUGGAUGAGCAGAAAAGGAAGACAUUCGAGAGACCCCCCCCCCACUUCGGGCAGCAUACGUCGGAGAACGGUGAGUCAGCCAUCUUGGAAGGCCUUUCUAUGCGGGAAGCCGCCUGUCUCCGUGUCGAGUCGGGAAGCAUCGAUAACUGCCCCGAACUUCCGACGAAAGUAUCACCAGGCCACUACGAACCACCCACCGACAUCAGAAUACGCCACCGGAAUCAACAGCAACGCCAUCUGUCAACUGCCACCUACAAGCCAAAACCACUACGGAUCCGGAUCCCAACCAACAAUAUACGCAAGUACCCUAUGUGACGUCAGACGGUAGGAGAAGAGGUGUCCAAAAUGGACAAUUUGUUAAUAAAUAGUUUGUAAUUGGAACUUAGUGGUGCCGUCUACUUUUAUUAGAGCGCAGCCCUGAAUUAUUUAGU